AUUGAACGCUGGCGGCAGGCCUAACACAUGCAAGUCGAGCGGAUGAAGAGAGCUUGCUCUCUGAUUUAGCGGCGGACGGGUGAGUAAUGCCUAGGAAUCUGCCUGGUAGUGGGGGACAACGUUUCGAAAGGAACGCUAAUACCGCAUACGUCCUACGGGAGAAAGUGGGGGAUCUUCGGACCUCACGCUAUCAGAUGAGCCUAGGUACGAUUAGCUAGUUGGUGAGGUAAAGGCUCACCAAGGCGACGAUCGUUAACUGGUCUGAGAGGAUGAUCAGUCACACUGGAACUGAGACACGGUCCAGACUCCUACGGGAGGCAGCAGUGGGGAAUAUUGGACAAUGGGCGAAAGCCUGAUCCAGCCAUGCCGCGUGUGUGAAGAAGGUCUUCGGAUUGUAAAGCACUUUAAGUUGGGAGGAAGGGCAGUAAGUUAAUACCUUGCUGUUUUGACGUUACCGACAGAAUAAGCACCGGUUAACUUCGUGCCAGCCGCCGCGGUAACAC
rnacentral:rRNA from 1 species